rnacentral:lncRNA from 1 species
CUUGAUGCAUCUACCUCACCUUGAGAAAACUGCCUUCAUAUUUGGCUACCCCAAGUUCCAGUAGUGGAACAAGACCAGUGCUAAGUGAAUACACUAUUGCCAGAACACAUGGCUGCUGACAAGCCCAUAGGGCUGAACUGAAGGUUUCAAAGCCCUGGACCUGGACCAAGACACUGUGCUCACAGUAUACAUUUCUGGCUAGAGAGAUGGGGAGGCAGUAAAUAGGUAUCAUGAUAUAAGCCACCAUCUCCAAAAGGUCACUGAGAAAGAAGCAUACCUUCUCCAUCCCUAGGAACAAUAUUUCUUCUCCAUAUUUUAGAUGGCAAGUCCCCAUUUCAGGAGCAUUUUAAAAGCAUGUAGGUUGUUAUGCGUUCCUGCAAUCCCAAUGGUCAGACUGACAGAUUUUCCAUGCUGGGGAAAGACUAAUAGUCUGGAGAGUGUGCAGAAAUCUUGUUUACACUCACCUGGUGCAUUGGCUGCUUUCAGCUCUUUCUGCAUUUUCUAGUCUGCAGUGCUCAACUUUCAAAAAAGAGUGCCCAGCAAGAAUUAAGGAGAGUGUUGGUGUGCACUGGAGAAGGAAAGAUAGGGAAGCAUGAAGUACAGGCCCUGAAUUUGGAAGGCAGUAAUAAGGCUAAGGAUGGGACAGAAGAGAAUUGGAGAUGAGUUACAUCUUCCCCAUCCACCUGCUUUACUGAACAGCAGGAAACUCAUGCCUAAGGAGGAAAUAUGCAUGUACGCUGUUCUGAUGAUGAUUUCAGGGCAGCCAAUGUACAUCUACCACCUGAGCUACAAGGAGAAUGUCCUGGUGUGUUCCGUCUCUAAGGAAAAGUAUCAUUGAACCCAGUGUUUCUAAUUAAAUAAAAUGGUAGGAUAAAAAGAUUGACA